rnacentral:rRNA from 1 species
AGAGUUUGCUUCUGGCUCAGGACGAACGCUGGCGGCGUGCCUAACACAUGCAAGUCGAACGGGCCGAUUUCCUUCGGGAAUGAAAGCUAGUGGCGGACGGGUGAGUAACGCGUGAGUAACCUGCCUCUCAGAGUGGAAUACCGUUUGGAAACGAACGUUAAUACCGCAUAACGUCACGGAGCCGCAUGACUCUGUGACCAAAGGAGCAAUCCGCUGAGAGAUGGACUCGCGUCCGAUUAGAUAGUUGGUGAGGUAACGGCUCACCAAGUCGACGAUCGGUAGCCGGACUGAGAGGUUGAACGGCCACAUUGGGACUGAGACACGGCCCAGACUCCUACGGGAGGCAGCAGUGAGGGAUAUUGCACAAUGGGCGAAAGCCUGAUGCAGCAACGCCGCGUGAGGGAUGACGGUUUUCGGAUUGUAAACCUCUGUCUUCGGUGAUGAUAGUGACAUUAGCCGAGGAGGAAGCCACGGCUAACUACGUGCCAGCAGCCGCGGUAAUACGUAGGUGGCGAGCGUUGUCCGGAAUUACUGGGUGUAAAGGGAGCGCAGGCGGGAAAGCAAGUCAGUGGUGAAAUUUAUGGGCUUAACCCAUAAACUGCCAUUGAAACUGUCUUUCUUGAGUGGAGUAGAGGUAAGCGGAAUUCCGAGUGUAGCGGUGAAAUGCGUAGAGAUUCGGAGGAACACCAGUGGCGAAGGCGGCUUACUGGGCUCUAACUGACGCUGAGGCUCGAAAGUGUGGGGAGCAAACAGGAUUAGAUACCCUGGUAGUCCACACUGUAAACGAUGAUUAUUAGGUGUGGGAGGUCUGCCCCCUCCGUCCCGCAGUUAACGCAAUAAAGUAAUCCACCUGGGGAGUACGACCGCAAGGUUGAAACUCAAAGGAAUUGACGGGGGCCCGCACAAGCAGUGGAUUAUGUGGUUUAAUUCGAAGCAACGCGAAGAACCUUACCAGGUCUUGACAUCCAACUAACGAACUAGAGAUAGAUUAGGUGCCCUUCGGGGAAAGUUGAGACAGGUGGUGCAUGGUUGUCGUCAGCUCGUGUCGUGAGAUGUUGGGUUAAGUCCCGCAACGAGCGCAACCCCUGCCAUUAGUUGCUACGCAAGAGCACUCUAAUGGGACCGCUACCGACAAGGUGGAGGAAGGUGGGGACGACGUCAAAUCAUCAUGCCCCUUAUGACCUGGGCUACACACGUAAUACAAUGGCCGUUAACAGAAGGAAGCGAAGGCGCGAGCCGGAGCAAACCCCCAAAAACGGUCUCAGUUCGGAUUGCAGGCUGCAACUCGCCUGUAUGAAGUCGGAAUUGCUAGUAAUCGCGGAUCAGCAUGCCGCGGUGAAUAAGAGGCCGGGCCUUGUACACACCGCCCGUCA